rnacentral:rRNA from 1 species
ACGUAGGUGGCAAGCGUUGUCCGGAUUUAUUGGGCGUAAAGCGAGCGCAGGCGGUUUCUUAAGUCUGAUGUGAAAGCCUUCGGCUCAACCGAAGAAGUGCAUUGGAAACUGGGAAACUUGAGUGCAGAAGAGGACAGUGGAACUCCAUGUGGAGGGGUGUAAUUGGUAGAUAUAUGUAGGAACGCCAGGGACGAAUGCGACAGACUGGUCAGUAACUGACGCUUAGGCUCGAGAUCCUGGGUUUCUGACAA